GUGUCAGCAGCCGCGGUAAUACGUAGGGGGCAAGCGUUGUCCGGAAUCACUGGGCGUAAAGAGCACGUAGGCGGUAUGUUAAGUUAGGUGUGAAAGUUUGCAGCUCAACUGUAAAAGUGCAUCUAAAACUGGCAUACUUGAGUCUCGGAGAGGUAAGCGGAAUUCCUAGUGUAGCGGUGAAAUGCGUAGAGAUUAGGAAGAACACCGGUGGCGAAGGCGGCUUACUGGACGAGUACUGACGCUCAGGUGCGAAAGCGUGGGGAGCAAACAGGAUUAGAAACCCCGGUAGUCC
rnacentral:rRNA from 1 species